AUUGAACGCUGGCGGCAGGCCUAACACAUGCAAGUCGAGCGAGCGGCGGACGGGUGAGUAACGUCUGGGAAACCGCCUGAUGGAGGGGGAUAACUUCCGGAAACGGUAGCUAAUAACGCAUACCAUCAGAUGUGCCCAGAUGGGAUUAGCUAGUAGGUCUGGUAACGGCUCACCUAGGCGACGAUGCCUAGCUGGUCUGAGAGGGUGACCAGCCACACUGGAACUGAGACACGGUCCAGACGCCUACGGGAGGCAGCAGUGGGGAAUAUUGCACAAUGGGCGAAAGCCUGAUGCAGCCAUGCCGCGUGUGUGAAGAAGGCCUUCGGGUUGUAAAGCACUGUCAGCAGGGAGGCGGUACCCGCAGAAGAAGCACCGGCUAACUCCGUGCCAGCAGCCGCGGUAAUUC
rnacentral:rRNA from 1 species